CGUGCGAUACACAUGCACAGGCACACAGCACGUGCUUUAGGUGCCCAGCACGGUCUGUAUUCACACCUGCCACACGGACAGCGCACGCCUGUGAACGCACACACGCGCACCGCGGUCGAGUCGCCUAGCAACCCAAGGCUGUAUACACCACAGGCCUGUGAAUGGCAUUGGGAUGGGGGAAGGGAAGCAGGUGUGCCGGUCCUCAAAGGGCCACAAGAUCAAAUAUUUAACCAAGUAGAGAGGAGAAGAAAAGGAAACCAAGGGAAAAGGGCAGGGGCGCAAGGAUGUGCCCUCCUCCACUCCGCGGAUGCAAACCCCACGGCUCCUUUGCAAGCAGAAACUGUGAUCCACUGACCGCGGCUGCGGACGUCCAGCCCCUGAGUCUGAGCAGGUGCCUCCGGGGAGGCUUUGAAGGACAGAACCUCCACCGCCACCCCUUUUUUCCUCCCUGCCUGGCGAUGAAUGAGUGGCCUCUUUCUUUGAAACUCACACACUUUGGGCCUCAGAGCGGCUCUUUGAAAUGCUGAUGGCAGAGAAAAGGCAGGGGAGACUGAGGGAGCUUAGUUCUGCUGGUGGGAAAGAGGAGCUCAGAGAAUGGGCCGACCUGAGCUAGAAAGAGCAAGGUUUUCUCUCUCAACAGGCACCUUCAUUUUGCGCUCAAGUGAUCCCACCAUGAGCAGACUGAAAAAGUGUUUUUGUUUUUUCUAACUGAUUCUUUUAUGUAGGAAGAAUCCCAGCCAAAUGGGACUGUCUACUCCUGUCUUUUCUGCCUCCGGUAAAAGUGAAUGGGAGUAGGGAAGAAAGUUACCCUCCCUGGAAGGUUUUUCUUCUCUCCUAUUUAUCUCUAGGGUAGAAAAUUCCAGAAAGCAUCUCCAGGCUCUCAGCAGUGAUAUUCUGGUUCCACUUCUUCACUGCUCCCCAGGUCUCUUCUGACAUUGCCAAGCUGCCUGCUGAGCUGUCAUAAAAUGUUCUGAAGCCUUGCAAAAGGAACAGGCAAAAAAAAAAAAAAAAAUCUCUUAGCCUGCUUAAAUUAGUCAUUGUCUCUAGCAGGGGUAUUCAUUCCCUCUCACUUUUCUCGUCUGGCUUCUUUUUCUUCUUCUCCUUCUUUUAUUUUUCCUCCCUGCAGUUAUUCUGAUGUGAGUUCAGUAUAUACAUCCACCCCAGAAAGGCCCCGGAUGCCAAGAAAGAUCCCACCAACUCACCCUCUUAUCAUGCUCCUCCUGAGGUGGAGGCUUGCUGUUCUCUGGCAGGCUGCAGAACGCCUAGUCUCACACCCGUCUGUCUCCUGCUGGGUUUCUGCACAGCACAAUAAUAAGGUGUUCCAACUGACACAGAAUAGAGUCACAAUGCCCUCAGCCAUCAACACCGGUGGGCGGACUCAGUGACCAUCUCAGGGUCUGCCCUGAGCUCAAAGAAUGGGCCUAAAGUCCAUUCAUUUUGUGAACACUCAUUUAUUGAGCAAGGCUUCCUCGAAUUGCGGGCCCGGAUGAGGCAUACGGUCCAGGGGCAAACGGUGACAAUACCCGUUUCACUCUCAAGGUCGUUUCUGCUUGCAGGUUCGUGUCCCAGCCAUUCCACUGCAACGAGACUAAACCAGGCAGACGCCACGAUGCAAAGAGCAGGGUCCUCGCCUUGGAGGAACUCAGCCUCCUGAAAGGCAGGCAAACAGACAGUUAAAAUAAGACACGAGAGCUAGGACAAAGGAAUGCACAGAGCCAUGUGCCUGUGUCCCUGUGUCCAACACGGUACCUAGAACAGUGAGCUCUGAGACACCUCUUGUUGCUGUUUUGUUUCAAGCAGUGACAGCGUUCUGUAGAUAGCACGUUCCCCACAGUGAUCUACUCUUUCUUCCUCUUCUCAUCUUCUUUCCUUGCUGCCUCCCCCUCUUCCAAGAGUCCGGAAUCUCCUGGACACAUAUACUCAGGGAGAUGGUCAAGGGAGUGGGUGAUAAUCAAAGGUAACGAACAUACGUUCCCCUGUGUCCCUCCUCAACCCCUGCGGCAAAAUCACAGAGACCGAUGUUGCCACCCGUCCCCCACACAUUUUCUUUUUCUACUAGAUACUGGAUGUUUGCGGGAAAGCUCUUUUGGCUGGGUCUAAUCGGUUUCCUGCUGCGUCCCUGUGUGCCAAGGUCCAGCCCCUCCUGAUGGCGCCAAUUCAGAGCCCUUUCCCCACCAUUUCUGCUCCUGUGGGUCUGGCUGUGCUAACAUAAGCAGGUCUUGCUACCAAGUGCUCAGGACCAAUCCUGCUGGUUUAUCCCAACAAGGUCAACCUGGUGACCUAAUGGUCCCCGUUACCCCCAGGGAAGGUUGAUUGCUGCAGAUAUCACUGAGUAUGGCCUCGCCCUUCGGUGGUCACUCUUGGGGCCCUUGCUGAGGUGAGGCGGCAGGUUCUCCCCCACCUCAUCUUCUGCUCUUAUUCUCUGAAGAUCGUGAUUUCACCCACCGUUUUCUUCUAAGAGUCUUUUUUUCCAGCCUUCUCACAUAUGACUCCCACAAAUGAAUCACACAAGCUGGGAGUUUCCAUGUGAGUAAAAAUGCAGCUUCCAUCCACAAAUGUUCAGUGUUCCUGGGCUUAUUGUGUAUGUUUGAUUUCUGUCAACGUUUUAAUUAAAAUGUCACCACAAAUUUAAGGGAGAAAGAAAGGGCAAGGGAGAGGCCAGGAUGACAGAGGUGUGCUAGGACGAAUCAAGCUCCAUAAGCAGUUUCUCCAUUUCCUUGUCCUCCAAGUGCUCUGAAUUUCUGACAUUUCUGUAUUUUUAGUAGCUUCCAGUCCUGAAGUUUAUGGGUUGAAAAGCGUGAGGCAUUGCCUCGCCAAGUGGCAAGGAUAUAAAAACAAGCGAUAAACAGAAAAGUUAACUGAACAAGCGCAUUGCGUCGAGAUGAAAGCUGAGAUGACAGGAGGGUCUCUGAGAACCCGGGGUACAGGGCCACGCCGAAUGGGGAUGGAAGCAGGAAAAAACGCAGAACAUAAUCAUCGCUCUUAGUUCUUCCGUGCUGGUCCCCUGAGACAUCUUGUCUCCCGAGAUUGUGACUUCUUCUGGGGGAAGGCCAAUGUUUGAUUUUUCUGCUGCAUUUGCCCACGUUUCAUAGCAAGGUACUUAGCACUCUGUGAGAGGAAAUGGGAUCAUCUAGAAAGGUCCAAAACCGGCAGACUCCUGUCCCCAAAUCUGCAGGUAAAUCUCCAUGUGACCUUGAAGAAUCACUUACCUCCCAUUUUCUUCAGCUGUAAAAUAAGUAUGGCCGGAUAAUCACCAAGCUGCAGACUGGCUUUAAAACUUUGUGAGUCCAUAAUCGUGACUUUUGAAUCAAGUUAGGGGAGAAACUCUGGGGCUCGAUGAUGUGUAUGUAGAAGUUGUUUCAAAGCGUGGACUUGGAUCUCAGUUUCUCUCGUGCAAAUCAAGGACAUUAGAAUAGAUGAUAGUCUUCAUUCUAUUUCUCUCUAAAAGGCAAGAAGUAUCUGAAUCAAAUGCUGAGCCUUCAUCCUCAAAGAUCAAGCCCCAAAUGGCUCUUCAUCGGGCCUCAGUAGAAAGAAGAGGAAUAGACCUUAUCCACAUAUAAUUCACUGGCCCAUUGAUAAGAACCUGUAUUUUCCAUGGGUUCAUUUUUAUCUUAGCCAUAAAAUCUCAAUCCUGUUUCAAACAUGAUAUUUUCCCUUUCAAUAUAAGAAGCAAUUUAUUUUAUUGUUACUUGAAACUAAAGAAUCCAAUAAACUGGUUUGGAGCCAAAGAAGACCAUAAUGACAAAAUGAUUGAUCUUUUUAUAACGCAUCGCACCGCUAUCCUCAAAUUGGAGAAACGCAAUAUAGAAGAUAUUCAUUUAUACCACCGGCUGGUAUUUAUUUCUGUAAUAGAAUGCAACACUCCUUUGUAUUUAUUAAGGAUCUGUCACCACUAGAAAUACAAAGUAAAAGGGCUUCACUGUGAAUUCUCAGGCACGGUCAACUAUCGGUUGUUAUGCGCCACUGACGUCAAAGAUCCAUAUGGGAGCUUAAGGCAGAAAUAUCAGAAGUAUUGCAUAGUGUGAAAAAUAUAAGUGCUGCAUCCAGGAUCCAUUGGUAGCAGUGGAAGGUAAGUACACAGAUGCUAUUCAACAGGACAAAGGAAAACAUGUUUUCAACCGCUGGAGCCGUUCGACAAUGGAGCUGACAAAAGGGUAUUAACACGAGAAGUCCUGCUCUGGGCUGGAUGCAUUGCCUACCACCUUCCUACACCCUCAGAGUACCCUCUGAGACACAUCUUAUUACUUCAUCACACAAAUGAAAAGGCAGGGGGUUCAAGAAAGGUAAACUAUUGUCAUUGGGCCAUUGAGCAGUUACAUGUUUGAACCAAGACUUGAAAUGCAUUUUGGCUGAUUCCAAAGCCCAUGUGUAUCACUGUAUCACAGUGCAUGUUCAUGAAGUAUGUUCUCAUACUAAAUUUAUGUUCUCAUGACUUGUCUCAUGGCCAAAGAAAGGCCAGCUGGUAACAACAUAUUGAAUAGUGACUAUUUGCUGAGUUCUUAAUGUCUGCCAUAUUUUGUCAAGAAUAGUCUUGGAUGAAGUUGUACUUGAACUACAUGAGGUCUUAGGGAACGCAUCCCUCCUCAGUACCCUAUACUAACCCAAUGGGGUAGAUGUAACCGUUGAGAAUUGUCACAAGGUUUUAUGAAUCCUGCGGGUGGAGAGCUUAUCAUGGAAGACUGCCUGACUUGCUAGUCCUUAUACCAAAAGUUGUCCACUCUUCCAAACCUCCACUGAGAUUCAGUAAGAUUCUGUGAUUCUUAAACUCCUCCCCGCCACCUACACAGCCAAUGAGAGGGAAACUUGUCUGAUUUUUCCCACAAGUGCUCAUGCGUUUCUGGAAUCUUUGCAGUGAGAGAGGACUCACCACUUCUCCAAAACUGCCUACUAAAUUUUGAACAGUGGUGACCCAUUCCAACUUUUUACAGCUCUAACUCCCAGAAAAUGUUUCCACAGACAUCAAUUGUCUCUUUUAUAGCUUCCACGUUUUGGUUCUCUUUGUCAUUUUGAGUCAAACAGAACAAAUUCACACAAGCCUGUAAUGUAACCCCUUGGUGUGUGACAGUGAAGAUGGUGACAGUGUCACCAGGAGUCACAAGUCCACUCUUAGUUCUGCUUCUCACUUGGGCUUUGAGCACUUGGUCGAGGUUGGGUUAUUUCACCUCCCAAACCCUCCACUAUACAGUUCACGCUCCCCUCUGAAAAACGAGUAACUUGUAUGUGAUGAGUUUCUAAAACUUCCUGCACCUUGGAUUCUAAGUGAUUUUCUGAGCCCUCAGAAUAAACACUGAUAGUUAUUCUAUGUCCUUCUCGAACUGGUCUCCCAGAAUUUCACUGGGGGACUUUCCAUGGGUGAAGGAGUUCAGUGCUGGUAUAUUUUUCCCGUAUAACCCGAAGAUCUUUCUAGAAACGCCUUCCCGUUUGGUUCUCACCUCAAGGAUCUGAGACAAUGAAAUCUCCUCUCCUCCCACAAAGAUACAGCAUUUAGAAAUGUGCUAAACCCUAAAUACAUAUUAUCACCAUUACAUCACCAUCGCAAUCAACUGUAUCACAUCACAGCCACCAGCCUGGGUCUGCAACUUUCACAAAUAGUUGCAAAUUCUUAUCAGAGUCCCUUGCAAAGAUUGAUCCUUCCGUGAGCUUUACAUUGAAAAAUACUCUGCUUACUACACAAAAUGCAAAAAUAUGCAUUUUAGAUAAUAAUACUUAAUUUCUGGAUUACUAUUUGUAUUAAUCAAUGGCCCAUGUCACUGCUCCUUGGAAAUUCUGAUCUGCCCGAAGGAUGUACACACCUGGAAACUGCUACAAUUUCAACCACAAGCUGAGGCAACCAUUCAUUAUGUGCAAUGACCAUUUUUUUACUUUGGCGUUGGCUCAUGUCUGAUUUCUGUGCACUUUUUGAUGCAUUUAAUGCUUAGCAAGCCUUCACGUGUUCCUUUGCAGAUGGUCCAGGAACUGAGGACCCCAGAUGGGGAGCUUCUGCGCAAAGCCCUCCAUACCCCACUUUGAGUUCCAACCUUAUACUAACUUUGUCUUAUGAAGGCUUGGACUUAAACCACUAAAGCAAAUCACAGGCGGGUGUGGAAGAGAGUGGGGAGGGGUCACUGGAUGAGGCAAGAACUCGUCGUUGAUAGAGACCAAGAAAGACAAAACGCUCAGUGUAAUUUUUGCCCCAUGGAGGGAAUCACUCUUGGAUACUAAAUCAAGCAGAGACUGCACGUUUCCCGAUUGCCCACAAAAGUCGAAAGUUGGUUUGCUCCCAAGAAACACCAAUGUGGAUGAGGCUCCAGUUUGCAAAGGGAACUGGUUUGUCCCUGUCCUGUACUGACUGACCUCUGGAGAUAGUUGCAGGAGCCUGAUUCUCCUCAUUCGAGAUGUGACUCCGUGAGGCUCAGCCUGGUCUUCUCAGAAGCCAAACUCAGGUGCCGCACUGCCCAGAGAAACUUGCUCCUUAAAACUGUUGACUGCUUCUACUUUUCUUGCCAUUCAUGGUUAUUUGAAACAGAAUUCAGCCUCCAUUCACAACUGUGCUGAUUUCCUUGAAAUUUGCUUUUCUUCUGUGUGAUGAAAGACAUUAUGAUUUUUUUUCUUCCCAUCAAUUUUCCGAUGGCUGGGAUACCCCUGGGACUUGUUUUGGUAAAUAUGCCUCAGACGAAUUGAUAAGGAAGCAUCCAAUUUUGAUCGAUGAGAAGCGGAGAAUCGCACUUUGAAUUUUACUGUAUCUUCCUAUGGCGGAUAUCCAAUAAUUUAAGAUAACCACCACCUCCUUUUUCUGGUAACAAGAAUCAGUCUGUGGAGUCAGGCCAACCCCAAUCCUCCCCCAAUAGGAAAGGAGUUCUUUCCUCUCAGGUGGUGAAGGCAGGGGACAUUUUCAGAAACUUCUGGAAGUUGGGGGUCCAGCUUUACAGAGAAAGUUUGCAAGAGGAAGGACUGAAGCUAGAUGAGAGAGAAGCAAAGAGAAGCAGAUUCUGGGAGAAAUGUGCAUGAUCAUUUUUCAUCUCACUCAUUCUACGGACAUCCAUGAAGCACCUGUGACCUGCAAAAGUGGUGAGCAAAUCAGAUUAAGGAUUCACGGUGACAAUAUGAAACUUCUGCUAGAAGCAGCAUCUUUUGAACAGCCAGCCAGAGUGGGGGAACAGCCACUUCUGAAGAGCCGGAAGGGAAAUCUCACCUGUGAGCCAGCUCCUGACAGGCUGCUCGGUCUGAAAGCAGCACAGAAUUGCACUGUCAACUUGCACAGAAGGAGCCCUGAAUACUAGGAACCAAAUGCCUGGGGGCCCCCCCUUGACCUGCGUCCCUGGGGUUGAUUCUGACUGCUUCCACCUUGAGUCCUAAGAGUGUAUUUCCCCCUCGAAGAGGGAGGCUGGCCUACCAGCAGAGCAGGGCCCGAGGGAUACAGCUGGAGGAAAUGCCUGCAGUGGCUCAGAACGAGAAAGCCAGGACUUCGGAAAAUCUUCAUAACCAACACAUUUUCAAACAGGGAAGCUUCACGCACAUCGAGCUCAAGUUAUUUGAAGGAAAAAAAAAAAAAGUGCUGAUACCGAGCCACUUAAGCAAUACUUGACGGCCCCAUGCUUGAUUGAAAAAUAAAAUAUGGUGUCUCCCGUGG